GGUAGCGUGGCCGAGCGGUCUAAGGCGCUUCGGGGGCGUGGGUUCGAAUCCCACCGCUGCCA
rfam:Xenopus tropicalis strain Nigerian Chr03_contig_3539, whole genome shotgun sequence.